rnacentral:rRNA from 1 species
UACGAAGGGGGCUAGCGUUGCUCGGAAUCACUGGGCGUAAAGGGUGCGUAGGCGGGUCUUUAAGUCAGGGGUGAAAUCCUGGAGCUCAACCCCAGAACUGCCUUUGAUACUGGCAACCUUGAGUCCGGGAGAGGUGAGUGGAACUGCGAGUGUAGAGGUGAAAUUCGUAGAUAUUCGCAAGAACACCAGUGGCGAAGGCGGCUCACUGGCCCGGUACUGACGCUGAGGUGCGAAAGCGUGGGGAGCAAACAGG